ACUCAAAUGAAUAGACGGGGGCCCGCACAAGCGGAGGAGCAUGUGGCUCAAUUCGAUGCAACGCGAAGAACCUUACCAGGACUUGACAUGCAGCUGCACGUCCGUCGAAAGGCGGAUUCCUUCGAGGGUGCUGCACAGGUGCUGCAUGGCUGUCGUCAGUUCGUGCCGUGAGGUGUUGGGUUAAGUCCCGCAACGAACGCAACCCCUGUGUUUAGUUGCCACCGCCGCAAGGCGAGCACUCUAAACAGACUGCCUGUACAAAACAGGAGGAAGGUGGGGACGACGUCAAGUCAGUAUGGCCCUUAUGUCCUGGGCUGCACACGUGCUACAAUGGCCGGUACAGAGGGAAGCAAGACCGCGAGGUGGAGCAAAUCCUUAAAACCGGUCCCAGUUCGGAUUGGAGGCUGAAACUCGCCUCCAUGAAGUUGGAUUCGCUAGUAACGGCGUAUCAGCUACGACGCCGUGAAUACGUUCCCGGGCCUUGUACACACCGCCCGU
rnacentral:rRNA from 1 species